ACUCCUACGGGAGGCAGCAGUGGGAAUAUUGCACAAUGGGGGAAAGCCCUCGAUGCAGCCAUGCCGCGUGUGUGAAGAAGGCCUUCGGGUUGUAAAGCACUUUCAGUAGGGAGGAAAGGUUGAUGGUUAAUACCUAUCAGCUGUGACGUUACCCACAGAAGAAGCACCGGCUAACUCCGUGCCAGCAGCCGCGGUAAUACGGAGGGUGCAAGCGUUAAUCGGAAUUACUGGGCGUAAAGCGUGCGCAGGCGGUCUGUUAAGCGAGAUGUGAAAGCCCCGGCUCAAGCCU
rnacentral:rRNA from 1 species